rnacentral:misc_RNA from 1 species
CUGACCCCUCCCCCCGCCUCCCGCCUCCGGGCGGGUCGGCGCCCGCCGGAGGAUAACCAAACUCUGAUUUAACGACGUUUCUUCUGAGUGGUACAAGCAAAUAAUCAAAACUUUUAACAACGGAUCUCUUGGUUCUGGCAUCGAUGAAGAACGCAGCGAAAUGCGAUAAGUAAUGUGAAUUGCAGAAUUCAGUGAAUCAUCGAAUCUUUGAACGCACAUUGCGCCCGCCAGCAUUCUGGCGGGCAUGCCUGUUCGAGCGUCAUUUCAACCCUCAAGCUCUGCUUGGUGUUGGGGCCCUACAGCUGAUGUAGGCCCUCAAAGGUAGUGUGCGGACCCUCUCGGAGCCUCCUUUGCGUAGUAAAUUUUACGGAUCUUU